AAUCAACGCUGGCGGCGUGCCUCAGACAUGCAAGUCGAACGCGAAAGUCCCCUUCGGGGGACAAGUAGAGUGGCGCACGGGUGAGUAACACGUAGGUAAUCUACCUUCGGAUGGGGAAUAACAAUCGGAAACGGUUGCUAAUACCGCAUAAUGCAGCGGCACCUAAUGGUGACAGUUGUUAAAGCGGGGGAUCGAAAGACCUCGCGUCUGAAGAGGAGCCUGCGGCGGAUUAGCUAGUUGGUAAGGUAAUGGCUUACCAAGGCGACGAUCCGUAACCGGCCUGAGAGGGCGGUCGGUCACACUGACACUGACAUACGGGUCAGACUCCUACGGGAGGCAGCAGUCGGGAAUUUUGGGCAAUGGGCGAAAGCCUGACCCAGCAACGCCGCGUGAAGGAUGAAAUCCCUCGGGACGUAAACUUCGCAAGAACGGGAAGAAUAAGUAGGGGAC
rnacentral:rRNA from 1 species